UAUGUUAUUGGGUUGUGUUAGGGUUUGAGAUUUUGACACGAUAAGCUUAACGGGUCGGGUUAGGAUUGACCUAUAUAGUAUAAUAUAUAUGUCUUGACACGACAUGAACACGACCUGUUAACACAAUUUGACACCCCUACUCUCAAUAUGUGGGAAGAAACUUGGAAGA